UACGUAGGGGGCAAGCGUUAUCCGGAUUUACUGGGUGUAAAGGGAGCGUAGACGGCCAGACAAGUCUGAAGUGAAAAUCCAGCGCUUAACGUUGGAAGUGCUUUGGAAACUGCCGGGCUAGAGUGCAGGAGGGGCAGGCGGAAUUCCUAGUGUAGCGGUGAAAUGCGUAGAUAUUAGGAGGAACACCAGUGGCGAAGGCGGCCUGCUGGACUGCAGCUGACGUUGAGGCUCGAAGGCGUGGGGAGCAAACAGG
rnacentral:rRNA from 1 species